rnacentral:rRNA from 1 species
UACAUAGGGUGCAAGCGUUAUCCGGAUUUACUGGGUUUAAAGGGUGCGUAGGCGGUUUCUCAAGUCGGUGAUGAAAGCUUGGUGCUCAACAUCAAAAGUGUUGCCGAUACUAGGAAGCUUGAGUUAAGGAAAGGUAGGCGGAAUUUAUGGUGUAGCGGUGAAAUGCGUAGAUAUCAUAAGGAACUCCAAUAGCGUAGGCAGCUUACUAGCCUUAUACUGACGCUGAGGCACGAAAGGCGGGGAGCAAACAGG